GUUAGUUUCAUCAUGAUUAUGUGGAAUGUUGCACUUGAUAACAUUCGGUUAUUAUAGGCUUCACACACAUGUGAAUGCAGACACGUGUGUGCUUGUGCAUGUUUACAAGUGUGUGUUACUUUCCCUUUCCUGUUUUAUGCGAUUCACACAUUCUAGACUGAUGUAAUGUGUGAAUCUAUGGUUAGUGUAGGGAAACUAAAGCAUCAAUGUCUUAUAUGCCUAAUAUUAAUCACCAUCAUUUUGCAUUAGCAAAAUUAAAAUUUACUAAGCUCAUAAAAGAAAUAGAUUAACUUGCAAAAAAAAUUAAUCUACAAGGUUGGUAAUGAUUAUUGUAUGAGCAUCUGUUGAAAU
rnacentral:misc_RNA from 1 species